rnacentral:rRNA from 1 species
UAGGGAAUCUUCCACAAUGGACGAAAGUCUGAUGGAGCAACGCCGCGUGAGUGAAGAAGGGUUUCGGCUCGUAAAACUCUAGUUGUUAAAGAAGAACAUAUCUGAGAGUAACUGUUCAGGUAUUGACGGUAUUUAACCAGAAAGCCACGGCUAACUACGUGCCA